GGCGCUGUGAUGGCCACCCAGACUGUCCUGACUCCAGUGAUGAGCUCAGCUGUGACACCGACACAGAAACUGACAAGAUAUUCCAGGAGGAGAAUGCCACAACCUCAAUGUCUUCUAUGAUUGUGGAGAAAGAGACCUCUUUCAGAAAUGUCACAGUUGCUUCUGCUGGGCACCCAUCCCGAAACCCAAAUGCCUAUGGGGUUAUCGCAGCUGCUGGGCUGUUGGUGGCUGUGAAGGAGUCGCUGCUGCUGUCAGAAAGGAAAACCUCUUUGAUCUGAGGACAUGGUUCCCACCUGGCCCUGAGUACAGUCAGACUGGAACAAAGCUGCAGUGGAACAUGCAGGUAGCAACUGGCUUCUCAGCUCCGAGACCUGGGCUCUUUUGGCCACAGAGAACUUUGAUUUUUAAACUUCUUCAGAUGUGGUCCUGGAGACUGGAGGUCGUCAGACACUCCCUUUGUAUGUGGUGAGCUUUGCUGGAAAAUCGCCAUAGCCAGGACUGAGGGGCCAGUCCCAGGAUGCUCCCAAGAAAUGGGGCCACCCUGAUCUAAACACUCCUUCUGCUCACAUUGAUGGGCAGCUAUUAAAGUUUCUUCACCCCCUC
rnacentral:lncRNA from 1 species